rnacentral:pre_miRNA from 1 species
GGGGGGAGAUCGGAUCCUGGGCUGUGUCCCCCCACGCUCAGGGCUCUGGGGCCUGUGCUGUUGGAAUCGAGCUCCCGGAAGGGCAGCCCUAU